AUACGUAGGGGGCGAGCGUUGUCCGGAAUGAUUGGGCGUAAAGGGCGCGUAGGCGGCCCGGUAAGUCUGGAGUGAAAGUCCUGUUUUUAAGAUGGGAAUUGCUUUGGAUACUGUCGGGCUUGAGUGCAGGAGAGGUAAGUGGAGUUCCCAGUGUAGCGGUGAAAUGCGUAGAGAUUGGGAGGAACACCAGUGGCGAAGGCGACUUACUGGACUGUAACUGACGCUGAGGCGCGAAAGUGUGGGGAGCAAACAGGAUUAGAUACCCUGGUAGUCCACACUGUAAACGAUGAAUGCUAGGUGUGGGGGGUAUCGACCCCUUCUGUGCCGCAGUCAACACAAUAAGCAUUCCGCCUGGGGAGUACGGCCGCAAGGUUGAAACUCAAAUGAAUUGACGGGG
rnacentral:rRNA from 1 species